CACCCUUUGUUAGUAUUCUCUCGCAAGCUCUGCAGAUUUCUUUAGAAAAAUGGGAGAUUCCUGAAAUCUCCUCUCCAUUGAAAUCUAUAAUAACAACCCCUAUGCCUAUCAAAACAGGCCAUGCCUAUCUUACAAUGCCUCCCUCUCUCCCAGCCAAACUUCCCUUUAUUGAUUUUCUUUUCAAGUGAAAAACUCAUUCAGAAAAUGAAGUUUACCUUUCUUGCGUGGUUCUUCAUCUUCUUGUGUGGUCGUGCCAUGUCAAACAUGGCUGAUGAAGGCAAACCCACAUCAAAACGGGAAGAUUUCAGCCUCUCAGAAACUGAUAAACAUGGACAAGUUCAUGGUGUAAACAGAACUCAGAGAUUGAAUGGCGACGAUGAAAGAAAGGAAUACAGGGGAAACCAUGAACUUUUCCACUCAACAAAGAAGGGAAAGAAAGGGAAGGGAGUUUACGGGGGUGCAAAUAUUGUUCACCGCCCACGCCAUCGUGAAAGAAAUGCUGCAAUAUUAACAGCAAAGCCUUCCUUCUUUGUGUCAGCCACCAUGUUGUGUGUGAGUUGGGCUUUGGUUCUCAUGUUCUUCCCCAUUUUAAGUUAAAUUAGGCACAAGAUGGACAUGAAAUUUUGAUAUCUUUCUUGGUGCUUAAAGGUACGGUUUUGGUGUAGCUUUUGGCAAGCAUAUUGUUGAACUACUUCGGAAUUUUGAUAUUAUUAAAUUGUUACCUUUUGUUUGGACUGGGAGGUUACGGUGGUAAGGGAAAGUAAGAGAGGAUUUUAAGAAAAUUUUACCUUGUUUGGGAAGGAAGAUUGGGAAGAGUUAAGGGAAUUGAGAGUUUUUGGGAGGUUAUUUGGGGGGUUUUCGUUAUUCAACCGCCCAAAACCCUCCAAUUUCCAACCCAUUGGGAAGGGUUAAAAAAAAAAAUUUAUUUAUUGAUUUCCUAUAUUGCCCAUAUCAAUUUUAGAAAAAGUUAAAACUAUCUCUUUUUACUAUAAAAUAACAAGUUUUAUAAAAAGAAUAAUUUUGUAAUUUUUAUAUUUAACCUUACCUUCCAAUAUCAUCCAACUAAACAAAAUAAGAAUAUAAAAUCUUCAUUUACUUUACCUUCUUCUCAAACAUAAAUAAA
rnacentral:misc_RNA from 1 species